rnacentral:lncRNA from 1 species
UAUGAAAAAGACAAGGUCCCUACAACACCCAGUAAUAUGUUACGAAUGUAUAUUUGCUAAUGAAAGUUUUUUGUUUUUUAUUGAAAUUUUGGAUUUUUAUUUGCAAUUUUUUAUAUUCUAACAGACGAUCAUUAAAUAUGAUAGAUAAACAAGUAGAAAAGAAUAUAGUAAUACAUAAUACUCUCCUCAUAUGUAAUACUCUCCUUAAACGUAAAUCAAAUUGUUUACACCGGAUAUGAUGAUUAAAUGUUGUAUCGGCAUGGUUUUAUCUGUCUACUUUGCUUUUUCAAUUUGGUUGCCAGCUUCAACCCAAUUCUUGAUUUAGAACUAUGAUUUUGAACUAAAACAUUUCCGUGUUGAAUAAAAUACUAUUUAUUCUUAACUGUAUUUUUUUUGAGGCUUCAGUUAUCAAAUGUUGGUGGUAAUUUUAGUUAUGCCACUGUGAAAGUGUCGAUUGUUAAGCAGACAUAAAAAGUUUGAAGUAUGCACAAAGCCUGAAAGUGUCAAAUAUGGAACCUAAAAAAACCUGCCUUUGCCACUAACUGUAUAAAGGUUUUUUAAGGUCUGUUUGUCAAGCGUCAAGUCAGGUUAUCUUGCUACUGGUACCAUGUAGUACAUCCUGCUUAAGCAGGUUGUACGCCAUCCAUACGACUUUUGGGCAUCUGUUUGUAAAAUAUUGCUGCAAAUCUUUUUGAGAGAGCCAUUACUAUGGAGAACCAUCUGAACCAUACAAGUGUGGAAACAUGGAUAACAUACCUGGCCCACAUUUGGUCCUGAAAAACAUUCUUUUUGGACCAAAUGCUAGCUGGAUUAAUGUGAAAUAAACUGAUGAGUUUAUUAAACUUAGCUGGUAAAAAAAAAAGUUUUUGUGAAACAAAUUUCAUGAAGACAAUUAUAGAAUGAAGUGCAUUUAUCUGCUGGCAACAUUUUUAAACGUGGUUCAGAUCGAAAAAAUUUGGUGCUAGAAAUUGACGAUAGUGGAAGUGAUAGAUGCAUCGAACCUAAUUUGUAAUUAAUUUCUGUAAAUAAAUUUCAAUUUACUAA